UGGAGGCUGGGGUUGGGGCAUCAGCGGUGUGGAUGGAGAAGCAGAGACUAACACCGGGUGACAGGGUCCAGCUCAGAGGUUUCACAGGAUCAUGGAUGCCAUCGGCCAUACACCCUGACCUGAAAAGACCAGAGAUCACAUAGCUCUCCAUGCUUAUCUUUAAAGAUGAGGAAAUUAAGCCUUGGGAAAAGGAAGUAAAUAAGUAGCAACCUCAAGAUUACACUGUAAUCUGCUUUUCCUGACCGGCUUCCUUGACUAUAAAAUGAUAAUAAGCACCUGCUAUUUCAUAACUUUGCUAUUAAGCUCCAAUGAGGCCAUGUAAACUUGCUUUGAACACUGUAAAAAUCACAGUGUGAGGCCUUAAUCACUUGAAGACGGAUCCUGGGAAAGAAAGCAGGCUGUAUCAGGGUACUGAACAGCACCCUGCACCGGCAGUGUUGGCUUGACACCGUCCCUGUCAGAUGAGGCCUUGCAGGUUGCACAAAAUGCCACCAUCUGAGAACUGAGAACAAAAGGGCUUCAUUUGAUCACUACUGAGUCACACUGGUGAAGUGGGAAUGGGGCUUGGAGUCCAGUCAAGCUUAACUGAAGGACUGAAUCCCUGAGAGAGCCAGUAGGGAUCUGAAAACAGGAAAUGAGUCACAGGGGUCCCUCAGCAACUGAAGACUCAUCCUCCCAGUUUAACCUACACUAGCUUUUUCUGUGAACCCAAACAAUGAAAGCUUGGAAGCUCAACAAAACACUUCCCCCCAGGCCAAGAAACAGCUUGUUCUUGAAUUUAAGUUGACAGGUCGUGGAGAUGGAACUUGCAAUACUAGGAUCAAGGGACCACACAGCAAGCCAGAGACCUGGAAGUGGGUGUCACAAAAGAGGAUAAAAACAGAAGGAAACGGGAUGGUGGUGGAGCGCACUUGUAAUCUCAGCACUCAGGAGGCAGAGGCAGGUGGAACUCUGUGAGUUCAAGGCCAUCCUGGUCUACAGAGCGAGUUCCAGGACAGCCAGGGCUAUACAGAGAAACCCUAUCUCGACCCGCCGCCAAAAAGGAAAACAUUACAAUUCAGCUGCCCCACUGUCUGCAGAACCCUGCUGGGUUGGUUUGUGGGUGAAAUACAGCUCCUCCUGUAGAUUCAUCAUGAGCCACGUGCCACUUUGGCAAGUGACACUUCAAACCUGCAAGUCCAGUUCCAGGAGCUACAUGUGAGCAGGUAUUCGCAGAACAAAUGGACUAGUGUUUUGAGGUGUUGGAUAUUUUUUGCAUAUGAUGUAUAUACUUGCUUUGUUCACAUAACAGAGAACAUAUUCAGAUUCAGUCAUCUGUUCUCAGAACUUGCUAUGUAAACUGGACAGGCCUUAAAUUCAGAGAUGUGCCUAUCUCUGCUUCCCAAGGACUGAAACUAAAGGCAUGGACCAUCAUGCCCAGCAAACCUCA